AGCGAACGCUGGCGGCAGGCCUAACACAUGCAAGUCGAACGAACUCUUCGGAGUUAGUGGCGGACGGGUGAGUAACACGUGGGAACGUGCCUUUAGGUUCGGAAUAACUCAGGGAAACUUGUGCUAAUACCGAAUGUGCCCUUCGGAGGAAAGAUUUAUCGCCUUUAGAGCGGCCCGCGUCUGAUUAGCUAGUUGGGGAGGUAAAGGCUCACCAAGGCGACGAUCAGUAGCUGGUCUGAGAGGAUGAUCAGCCACAUUGGGACUGAGACCCGACCCAAACUCCUACGGGAGGCAGCAGUGGGGAAUCUUGCGCAAUGGGCGAAAGCCUGACGCAGCCAUGCCGCGUGAAUGAUGAAGGUCUUAGGAUUGUAAAAUUCUUUCACCGGGGACGAUAAUGACGGUACCCGGAGAAGAAGCCCCGGCUAACUUCGUG
rnacentral:rRNA from 1 species